ACGCACGCUGGCGGCGUGCUUCACCCCUGCCAGUCGAACGGUGAAGCGCCUUCCUUUUUGGUGGGUGUGGAUGAGUGGCGAACGGGUGAGUAACACGUGAGUAACCUGCCCCCUUCUUCUGGAUAACCGCAUGAAAGUGUGGCUAAUACGGGAUAUUCUGGGUCUGUCGCAUGAUGGGUCUGGGAAAGAUAUUGUUUCGGUGGGGGAUGGGCUCGCGGCCUAUCAGCUUGUUGGUGGGGUGAUGGCCUACCAAGGCGGUGACGGGUAGCCGGCCUGAGAGGGUGGACGGUCACACUGGGACUGAGACACGGCCCAGACUCCUACGGGAGGCAGCAGUGGGGAAUAUUGCACAAUGGGCGCAAGCCUGAUGCAGCGACGCCGCGUGAGGGAUGGAGGCCUGCGGGUUGUGAACCUCUUUCGCCAGUGAAGCAGGCCUGCCUCGUUUGUGGGUGGGUUGACGGUAGCUGGAUAAGAAGCGCCGGCUAACUACGUG
rnacentral:rRNA from 1 species